rnacentral:rRNA from 1 species
UACGGGGGGGGCAAGCGUUGUUCGGAAUUACUGGGCGUAAAGGGCUCGUAGGUGGCCAACUAAGUCAGACGUGAAAUCCCUCGGCUUAACCGGGGAACUGCGUCUGAUACUGGAUGGCUUGAGUUCGGGAGAGGGAUGCGGAAUUCCAGGUGUAGCGGUGAAAUGCGUAGAUAUCUGGAGGAACACCGGUGGCGGAGGCGGCAUCCUGGACCGACACUGACGCUGAGGAGCGAAAGCCAGGGGAGCAAACGGG